ensembl:snRNA U6 U6 spliceosomal RNA
GUGCUCAUUUCAGCAGCACAGGCACUAAAAUUGGAACAACACCGAGAAGACUCGUAUGGCCCUUGCACACGGGUGACACACAAAAUUAAAAUCGUUGAAAAGAAAGA